rnacentral:lncRNA from 1 species
UGUAAUUGAAAGCGACUUUAAAAAAAAUUGUGUGUUAUGCAGUGUUUAAUUAACUGAUGUAAUUGAAAGCUACUUUUCAUUUUUUAUUUUUUUGUGUUAUGCAGUGCUGUUAAUGGCUUUCUUUUGUACUCAGCAUCUCUGAUGUGGCUAAUGUGCAGCAAGGCCCCUAUCAAGAGCAUUAAAGGUGUGUAAAGCUGUUCCUCCUUGCAGUCACACUGGAGUGGCACUCCAGUACCAUGCUCUCCUCAUUUGUCCCCUGCUGCCCCAAGACCAGAGGAGGGAAAGGCUCUGGUGUGCUUUACCUCAGUUGCUGCCUUCCUUGUCCUCCGGCUUACUGAGUCCCACUUCUGCUCUAAGACAGUAGCUGUCAGAAUGUAUCAUGAGAGGUAAUGGAGAAGAUUAGGGUUUCAGUGACCCUCCUCUCUCAUCCUAAUGGUUGAAUGUUCUAAGGCUACUCUUGAGGUCCUCAGAGGAGUAAAGAGUGGUUAGCAUCUGAUCUAAUGCUUUCUAAGGUGAGGACAAAAGGUUUGUCUACACCAAUGGUCACUAUGAUAAAGGCCUGGGUAGGCACUCAUGUGUUCUUAUGAAUAUAUAAACUUUCAUGCCUAUGCAGAUAUAGAGCACAGGGAGUGAAGAUUACAGUUUUUUUUUUAAUGAGUAUAUGUUUUCCCCCAUGGAAUAUAAAGAAGCAAUCUCAGAACACAUUCCAAAAAAUCUUAUGAUUAAUCACAAAUUAUUCUCCUAUAAACACAUUUUUCAGACAUAACUCUGUGUUAAAAUUGAAAUUAAAACAGCAGAUGGGCUCUGGGAGAUGUGUCAGAUUGUGAAGAAAUGGCAUAUGGGAAUAUUGGAGUGGGACAUUAUGUGGCAUUUCACACACUUUUUCUACAGUGUAUGAGGCCUCCAUUGCACACACAUUUUUAAAAUCCUCACUCACCAGACAGAAUGUGUCAGAUGAUUUAUUCAUUGUCUCUAGGGUGGAUUUUUAGUGGCUGCUUCAACUCAUCUCAUUACUUUCUUUUAAGAAAAGAAUAAAUCCUCCUGGCAUAGCACUAUUUUACUGUUUUAAAAAUAAUCUCCCCUUCUUGAAUAUUUCUCUAGUUUAAAAGGUCACUCUCUUUCCCCUCGGAAAAAGAGUACAAAUAUUUCAAGAACGUAUGGCUACACUUGAUAGGAAAUGCUUUCUAAAUGACCUGUAAUCUGGCCUUCAUCAAUUUGAUAUAGUAACCCCACCCCAGAGUUUGAAACAAGACAGUUUUCUGAUACUAGUAUUGCUUUUUUGAAGUCUCAUUUUUGACUGCCUCCUUCUCUGUUCAAAUCCCCACCUCCAACCACCACGGGUCCCUUUCUCUUAUUUUGCUGAACAAUUGGAGCAAUUCCUUAGGAAUGCCUUGAGCUAUAUUCUGCUUUUCACUACCUGCUGUGUGGCUUAUUUUCUGUAGGUGUACAGCUGCGGCCCCUGGUGCAGUGUAUGCCACACUCCAGACCUUUCACUGGCACAACACAAACACAUGCAUACCAUACACGCAUACACACACACACACACACACACACACACACACACACACACACAAACAUUUUUAUUUCCCUCCCUACUUCCUCCCCAUAACCCUUCUUCUUUUCUUUUCUGCCUUCUUUAUUCCCUCUCUUUCUUCUUUCCUUUUGCCUUUUGAUGAAAGAAACACACGGAGGAAUUAAUAUUCUAAGCUACAUCUGGCUGAACCUGUUGCUAAAUGACAUUAAUCAACUUAUUUUCUAGAGUUAGGGUUCAAUUUUGGCGUCCUCUCUCUGAUUAGACUGUCAUCAAUCAUUCUAUGUGCUGACAUUCUGCAGAAAAAAAAAAGAAGAGAAUUUUUGCACAUUGUAUAGCCAGAAGUAUUUCCAAAUACCCUGGGGACUUUCUUGGAACUGGGGGUUUGUCACCUUUGACUGAAGCUAUCUCAGUGAGUCCUAAGAAACUCUGGGACAUUGGGUGAAGCUCUGCUUCACAGAAAAACCUCUGUCAACAUAGUCCUAGACUUUUUCUUCAAAACCAUCCAGUGCAAGCUAGGCACCUUUAUGCCUCUGCCCCUUAAGACUUACUCAUAGCACCUUAGUACCUUUGUCCUGUUGGAUGCAUCAAAAUGCAUAUUAAAGUAGAUUCUACCUGACAUUAACAUGUAUGUUGAUGGAAGAGAAGAGGGUUUCUUGAGUGCAUGAUGGAAUGACAGAGACACUAAAGGAAUUGAAGAGAAGCCAUAAACUGAAUGGCUGUGAUAGCAUCUGCUAUGGAAAUGUCUCUGUCCCUAGGAAGGACCAAUCCAUGUGUUUGAUCUGGACCCUGUUGACUAACAGGUAAUAC